UGAAACACGGACCAAGGAGUUUAUCGUGUGCGCAAGUCAUUGGGUGUUGAAAACUCAAAGGCGCAAUGAAAGUAAAGAAUCCGCAAGGAUACGACGUGUGAUCUGAGCAAUCACGAUUGCCUGGAGCAACAUGGCCCCAUUCUGGUCGCUUGCGACGGGGUGGAGGAAGAGCGUACGCGGUGAGACCCGAAAGAUGGUGAACUAUUCCUGAGCAGGAUGAAGCCAGAGGAAACUCUGGUGGAAGUCCGAAGCGAUUCUGACGUGCAAAUCGAUCGUCUGACUUGGGUAUAGGGGCGAAAGACUAAUCGAACCAUCUAGUAGCUGG
rnacentral:rRNA from 1 species